GAGGAUAUAGCUCAGUGGCAGAGCGCAUGCCUAGCAUGCAUGAGGUCCUGGGUUCAAUCCCCAGUACCUCCA
rnacentral:tRNA from 1 species